GAUACCAGGGUCCAAAAGUCAUACUUUUCAUGCUCGCAUGAAAAAGUAUGACCUUGGGACCCGCAAAACAUGAGAAAGUAACUCGCUAGGGCGGAUUUCGAAUGUUUUCAGGAUUGCGGAAGCGCGCAGUGCGUAGCAAUCCGUUGGUAUC
rnacentral:sRNA from 1 species